GGUACAAAUCUCCUCACAGGUGUUAGAAAUGUAAGUUUGAAAGCCCUUAAAUUAAUCGAACACACUUGAGUGUAGUGUUUUCAAAAAUAUGUUUGCUUUUUUAAAAAAUAUAGCUCAUAAAUUCAUAGCAUAACCAUUCAUUAUGGCUCUGAUCCAGCAGAACACUUAAAUACAUGUCUAAAUUUAUAUACUUAAGUGAUGGACUUAAAAAUAAUGCAUGUACAUAGGCACUGGACUGAAUCCCAUGUGCAUUCAGAAAGAAGUUCCUUUACACAAGGAGUAAUUUCCAUGCUGAGAUGUUUUUUACCCAUGGAUUCAAUGAUCAUCACCAGAAGAGCACAGAAUGGCAGUCAAGUACUUCCCCAUGGCAUUCACAUGUGGCUACUUCUAUAUCUCGCAAUGGACGAAUGCUUUUUUUUUUUUUUUUUAAUAAAAGACAGUUCCAUGUAGCAACACUUACUUAGCAUUACAAACUGUAAAAUUUUUACUAGAAUUCUUUACUAGAAUUCUUAAUUCUGGGGGAAGGUGUGAUUGCAUAGUGAGGGACAUUACUAUUCUGCUUAGAGAAGCAGAGGGCAUUCCAAGCGUGUAUAUGGCAGGCAGUAGUUGUCUAGCUCCAGAACGAGAGUCAUCUCAUCACCCUGGGUGACGGUAUCCAACGUCACCUCAUCCAGCCAGAGAUGGUGGGUGCCUGAUCAUCUCAGAUAAUGGUUGCUUCCAUAUUCAAAAUAUUUCGGGGAGUUGCUCAAAUAUAUAUAUUUAAUUCAUAAAGCACACCAUUCAUGUAUUUUACAAAUUUUUGGCUGAAAAUUUAGGUAUUUUGUGUGGAUACAGAAUAAAUAAGGGCAUAUUUCUGAGCUUAAAGCCAAUGAAAUCACUUGUAAUGCUGUAGGUUUGGACUGUGCCCUUCCACAGGAUUUGGACCUAGAGGUUUGAAUAACACAUUUGAACCUCACUGCUGUAUGGAACUCCAGUGAGCAUGACUGGGGAGAGGGGUCAGCACCUUCUGUACUAUUCUUGCAGGUUCUUCCCAAAUUGCCUGAAUUUUUGCUGCCUUACUACUCUUUCUGUGUGUAUAAUACCACUGCUCUUCAUGUUGUUAUAUUGAUGUAAAACUGAUGAUAAAUAGGUCCAAAGUGUCUUAUUGCUAUUUUGGAGUGAGAUUCUUACCCUCAACAGUCUGAUAAUGAGGCUGAAGAACUGGGCCCGUCCCUUAUGUUGGACAUUAACAAGCUGAUGCAUUAGCAAGUACAGGAGAACUAAGUGACAUAAAGUGCUUGUUUAGCUUUUAUAUUCUGGUCACUUGUUAGUACUACUGUUUUCGUAGAUCAAAGACAAAAUAUUCCCUUAACAAGUUUGUCUUUUUUUUUCUCAAUAAUCUCUCUUUUAUAACAGCAUAAGAAAUGUCAUGCUGCACUAUCUGUGUUCCCACAGCUGAAGCCAUCCAGCUGUGACUGCUUUCCAGGGGUUUAAAACACCUAGAAACAGAAUUACAUCAGUGUGAAUUGGCAGAGCUUUGAACAGUGCUUGCUGGUUGUAGAUUAAACCUGUGGCAAUACAUUUCAGGUUCUUCACAUGAUGGACUUGAGUUUUGAGAUAUUUUUAUCCUUUAGAGUGUUUAGAAGAUGGACAGUUGACGUCAUGAUGCUAGAUUAAUUAUUUGGUAUAGAAUUAGGGUUUUUAUUUAUCUUUUUGUUAUAUAACGUUUCUUUUUUCCUUUUUUUUUUUUUUAGUCUAAUAAUUGAAAAAAAGGUAAAUGUAAGCGUUUUCACUGAGUUGAAAUGGGGAGCCUUCAGCAUUGGGACUGGUUAUGCCCAGAGUUCACAUGAUUCUUCUUCCUUAUUUUGUUAUGAAUACAUACUAUUACACGAAUACAUGCUCUUACAUGGCCAAAGCUUUGAAAAUGUACCUGGUCCUCAGGAAGGAGAUUUUCCCUAUCCUUUCCACAGAGUGUGUAACAUAAAUUAAGGAUGACAGCUAACAAGAUCCAUAUCCAAUAUCCAUACCCACAUGUAGUUAAUAACUAGUUUUUAGCAAAAGUUCAUGUGCAUCCUAUCCUUCAGAUAAGCUCCUUUGACUUAAUCUGGCCUUUCAAACACAGGUCUAGCUCUGCAAGUUCCAAGUACAUAGGCCGCUCUAAAAGUCAUGCCUCCUAUUUGUUUCCAUGGAGAUUACAACAGAUACAAAGUGUAAAAGACUAUUUUCAACAGUCACUGCUGUUGGCUAUGCGAUUUCAUCAGCGAUGAGCAAGAGCCUUCAUGCCGUGCUCGUAAUAAUCUGCGCUAGCGGAGACAACCACUGCUGUGGGCAGCAAGGCUGCAGUGUACCACCCACCACUUCACUGUGCUCUGAUCCACUGUUUGGUCUCCAUAAAUGUUCAGUAAGCAUCUAUCAGUGUCAGUGGGUGCCAUCUUUUCCACAUGAAUAAAAUUUCACACUAUUGCACCAUACGUAUUUCCAUGUCAAACACCGUUGUGUCAGACUGCCCCUCUGCUGCCAUCUGUCACACAGCAACACUGUGUAAAGAAAUAUUGGUGGCAAGGUUUGACUUCUGCUGCCAUACCACCACCAUCAGCCUCUGAAAUCAGUAUUAUAAAGUAGGAGGCAUUACUUUUGAAGCAGUCUUCACAGCUCCAAACUUUGCUUGUUUUUGAUUUUUAUAAAAUAGAAUAAAUGCUUAUUUGUUCACGUUCCAUUUUACUCAUCUCCAUUUCCUUAUGUUUUCUAUUUCAAGUUAGCUGUCAUAAUGUUAUCCUGUAACAGAAUUUUAUUCAUGAUAUAGAAUAGCUGAAAAGCUGUGGAAUUCAUGAAGGGCUACAAAAAGCAUUCAAGGUAUUGUUUGGCUCAAGAGUAAUCUUUGGUCAAAAGGCUAAACAACAUUAUGGUGCUAAUAGCUACUGAACAGCUACUAUGGUGUAUUCACUAUGACUUCAAUGACAUGUUCAAGGCAUGCCAAUGAUACAACAGCAUGUGUUUUUGUUCUUAAAGUCUGGAGCUUCUCCAGCAAAGUCUGCAUUCAUAGUUCCUAGUGAGCCAAUUCCUGUCUAGUUCUUCUGUCCUUUCAGGAGGGAGUAUAGGAUUUGGCCCAGCACUAGCGGCUAAAGUAGAAGUUAUAUAGACCAUGCAAAUCUCCUGUAGGAUUUAUUCAUCCUUCUGUAGAAUGUUACUUUCUUUGGUGGCUUUGCUUAAGCAGAGACUGAAAAUAAAUUCUAUAGGAGUGACAGGAAGCGAUGGCACCCCUUAACCAAGCAACAUUAAUAAGAGUUUGAAUUAAAUCGAGGACUCAGAUCUGAGAUAUUAAUGUUCUUUCAUGAAAUAUCAGAAAGAGGGGGGUAGAACAGGAACGAGUUCUAGCUCCAGCAAUGGAAAAAGCCAAAUCUGGCCAACUUUCAAGAAAGCUAGGAUUUACCACUGAGAUUUUUGGUAUUUGACUCUUUAAGACAGCAUUUUGCCUUUCUAUUUGGAACUGAAAGAUAAUUCUUUUAUGUUAUUGUACUUGGACUGCUCACUGAGAGGAGGCAUGUGUAUCCUACAUGGCAUGAUGUGGUACGCCUCAGAAAUUUUACCUCUUUAACAAAGGUACAUUUGAAAACAUGAAGGGAGAUGUCAGUGCAAAAAGUUGGACAAAAUACUUCAAAACUGUUUCUGUAUAAAGAACAACAAAAAUGAAUGUGGAGUCACUGUGAUCCAUGUGUCGGUGAAGGCUUUCCUCCUAACAGACCUGCUCUGUUCCCCACUUGAGCAAAUGGGAGUUUUGCCCUUGGCUGCGGUGCUUACCCCUGCCAAAUGAUUUAAACAGCAAGAAAAUAAUCUGGGUAGCGUGGUAGGAGCGUGGAGUGGGCACACUGCCUGUAACUGUUCUGUUUUAAAAAAACCAACUCAUUAUUAAGCAAACGUGUAGAGUAUUAAGGACAUUUGUAGAGUAUGUCUGACUGUAUGAGUGUGUGGGUGCUGUGCUGUGGUAAAAAGAGACUAAUUGGUUUAUGCAUUUUUUUGCAUACUUUAGGGAUUUUUAAUUGAUAUUUAUUUCUCAGCAGAGGCUAGAAUAAUUUUAAAGCUGUGUAACACAUUGUUUCAUGAAAUCUAUUGUCGGCAUCUGUUGUAAACAUGUGUUUACAAAACAAACUCUUGAAUACUUGAUAUUGGAAAAUAAAAAGUAGC
ensembl:lncRNA